UACGUAGGGGGCGAGCGUUGUCCGGAAUGAUUGGGCGUAAAGGGCGCGUAGGCGGCCAUUUAAGUCUGGAGUGAAAGUCCUGCUUUUAAGGUGGGAAUUGCUUUGGAAACUGGAUGGCUUGAGUGCAGGAGAGGUUAUCGGAAUUCCCGGUGUAGCGGUGAAAUGCGUAGAGAUCGGGAGGAACACCAGUGGCGAAGGCGGGUAACUGGACUGCAACUGACGCUGAGGCGCGAAAGUGUGGGGAGCAAACAGGAUUAGAUACCCUGGUAGUCCACACUGUAAACGAUGAAUGCUAGGUGUAGGGGGUAUCGACCCCUUCUGUGCCGGAGUAAACACAAUAAGCAUUCCGCCUGGGGAGUACGGCCGCAAGGUUGAA
rnacentral:rRNA from 1 species